CCCAUGGAUUUUUAUAGAAAUUCUCGUUGCAAAACGAGUUUGUCGAAGCAUCUUACGGUAUUCUAUAAUGGAAACCCUGAGAAACGAGAAGAAGUGAGAAACAUUUUUGCUUAUAACUUUGUUAACACAAAAGCUCGAUAGAACAAUUCGGGUAUCAUAUAAAAACAGAAAAAUCUAUUGAAUUUGCACGUGAAGAGAUGUUAAUAAAAAUACGAUAGAGUCCCUAGCGAGUGCCCUAGAUUGCUCUAUUGAAUUUUCCUCUACGUGUUGGUUCAUCCCUCCAGGAAGCAAUAGACUUGGAAGCCGUUCGACGAAAGUUCCUUAUUUUUAUUACACGGUUGAAGCGUCAAUUUAUUUCUUAACGGGCAAUUAUGAAGCCCCAGGCGGGAAAAAAUAAAGUUGAGUUAUCAAGACAGCUCGCUUCGCAGAUAGAAUUCUCGUUGGACGAAGUGGAACAUUUACAGGUUAUUUAUAUGUAAGAGUUGACUGAUUAAUCAGAGGAAUUUUAAUACGGGCCUUUCACCUUUCAGUUUUUGAGUUCAAUGAACUGUUGGGUGCUUGACGACGGACAUAUGCUAAAUGAUGAUUAUUAUGCGACGUGGAAAAACUUGUCAAUUCUAGACGCAGGAUGAGGGUAGACUCAUCAUCAUCCUGGUCUAGUAGCAUUUACCUUCUAUAUUUUUUUUUCGUUCGGUGAAUUUUUCGUAGACUACUACAAUGAAAGGGCUCUGUGAAAAUUCUGAUUUUGGCAGGAUAUGAAAGAAUGGGCUUACAAAAUAUUUUCCAUCUUCAUUUCCCUCUCAUAAUUAAAAUUGUGACAAAUUUUUUUUUGUAAUGUAAUAUUAAAUUGCAUAGGGGAGGUGCAUAUAAUAAUCUUUCAGAUCAGCGAAAAAUCUAAAAGCCUUAAUGAAAGAUAGAGUUUAGCAACAAUCCCGGCUCCUAAUUAAUGAAUUAAUUAAAAAACUGUGACUCGGCAACGGAUAAUGCACGGAUAAUGAAUCCGCUUUGAAUUGAUUCAUACUAAUAAGGAUGUUCGUGUAGGUGCAGAGGAACAAUCGCUCUUUCCAUUCGGUACCGCCCUCCAUAAAGCAAACUUUCAAUUUUCGUCGCAUUACGAUAUCAAAUAAAAUUCAAAAGAGCAGCAGAAAAACGCUAGUAAAAUUUACGAUGUGGAUCCUACUGUUGGCAUGGAUUGCAAAACCACGAAAAUUUGCAAAAUGUUACAAUUUACGAGUGGGAGGUGACGGCUAAUGAAUUUAAAUCUCUUUGACUACACUCAUAUAUUAAUGAGUUGGUCGAUAAGCAUCUACACGCCCAUUUGAUACCUUCCAUUAUAAGGCAAAUAUUUAAUUUUAUUGCAUUAAGGUAUCAAAUAAAAUGCAAGCAACAGUAGUAGGCGUACAUAUUUAGCCCUAUCAGCAUGGCUUUGCGACAUGGACGGAGCUGAUAUGAAUACCAAAAGAGCCGACAAUAUGAUAAAUUCAGAGCCAGUCUAGGAAUUUAAAAUUUAAAAAAAGACUACCGGAAGCCUAUGGUGUAAACUCAAAUUCAGAAGAAAAAUGAAUAUCUCUAAAAUAGCACCAUCAGAUCUCAAUGAAAACAUUUUAAACGCGACAUAUCUACAUUUAUUCCCAAUUAACAAGAAAAAUUUUAAUUUUAAACACUCGAUUAUUUGCACAAAUGUAGUACCCAGUAUUGUGGUAAAAAUUUUGUUUAUUAUUUUUGACUGCAAUGGGAUAUCUACAUUUUACAGUAUUUAUUUUUCAUUUCAAGAUAAGGAGCACCGCAUUUCCUGCUCAUGUGUAUUUUCUUUCCAUCAUUUUGAUGACACGUGAUCGAUACGUAAAUCGAUAAGAGUUUGUUCAUAAUAUUGGGAAUUAGAAUUUUACAACUUAUAAUUUUUGUAAUUAGUAUAACUUUUGGAAGGUAAAUAUCCAUUCUAGCUACACCUCUCCACACGUUAUGAGGCAAAUAAUUCAUUUAAACAACAAAAUCACUUGGCAAAUAUUAGUAAUGAAUUUUACGCAAAAAAGUUCUGGCUUCGUACCUUGUCAAUUGUCAAAAUCACUCAA